rnacentral:rRNA from 1 species
GAUGAACGCUGGCGGCGUGCCUAAUACAUGCAAGUCGAGCGAACGGACGAGAAGCUUGCUUCUCUGAUGUUGGCGGCGGACGGGUGAGUAACACGUGGAUAACCUACCUAUAAGACUGGGAUAACUUCGGGAAACCGGAGCUAAUACCGGAUGAUAUUUUGAACCGCAUGGUUCAAAAGUGAAAGACGGUCUUGCUGUCACUUAUAGAUGGAUCCGCGCUGCAUUAGCUAGUUGGUAAGGUAACGGCUUACCAAGGCAACGAUGCAUAGCCGACCUGAGAGGGUGAUCGGCCAAACUGGAACUGAGACACGGUCCAGACUCCUACGGGAGGCAGCAGUAGGGAAUCUUCCGCAAUGGGCGAAAGCCUGACGGAGCAACGCCGCGUGAGUGAUGAAGGUCUUCGGAUCGUAAAACUCUGUUAUUAGGGAAGAACAUAUGUGUAAGUAACUGUGCACAUCUUGACGGUACCUAAUCAGAAAGCCACGGCUAACUACGUG